CCCUUAGAUGUUCUGGGCUGCACGCGCGCUACACUGAAGCGUUCAACGAGUAUUCACCUUGCCCGGGAGGGUUGGGUAAUCUUUUCAAAACGCUUCGUGAUGGGGAUAGAUUAUUGCAAUUAUUAAUCUUCAACGAGGAAUUCCUAGUAAGCGCGAGUCAUCAGCUCGUGCUGAUUACGUCCCUGCCCUUUGUACACACCGCCCGUCGCUCCUACCGAUCGAAGAGUUAGGUGAAUUGUUUUGAUCGAUAAGAUUUGACUAUGGUCAACUCUCGUUGUGAAAUUCUGUGAAUCUGACUGUUUAGAGGAAGGAAAAGUCGUAACA
rnacentral:rRNA from 1 species